UCACUGUUCUCGAAGACAAUAUUGGCUUUAACAAAGUACUGUUGCGUCCUGGAGGUUUUAUUUACCUCCAAGCUGCUCAGAUUCUCAAAACUACAAAGCUUUAUGAUCUGUUGCACCACCCCUUUGCUCUCCUCCUCCUCUGAAAAAGGUUGACCCAAGAACUCAGCCAGUCUUUUCACAUUAGCAGAUGGCUCCUUCUUGAGAUCCUCAUAUUUUAAGAACCAAACUUGCUCUGGCAUUUCCAAGCUUGCUUUCCAAAACCCUAGCACAUGGUCCCAAUAGGGCCCGUAUGGGCAGACUCCGCGGCAGAAAAUCUCAAAUGCUUCUUCUAGUGAGAAGGGUGCAAGUCUUGUGUUUAUUGCUCUAACUUUGCUCGCGAAGAUCCAUGAAGAAAUGAAUACAUCUUUAGGGUUACGGUAAACGUAUACGAAUUUUGACACACUGCAAGUACUACUAGAAGUAGUCACAGAUUUUGGUAACAAAGAGUAAGGCAGGUGGGUCGCAAAGAGUUGAGUAGUGCUUGUAGGCGGAACAUAAUUAUUAAUCAUACCAUCACCACCGUCACGAUCGUCGUGAUCAUGAUCAAGUGAGGUUACUGGACGGUUGUGAUCAUGGUUUCCAAGCAUGUCAUCCAUAUCCAAGAAAGGAAAACAGUCGUGGGGCCCAGUUGUGAGCAAGGGAUGAUGAGGAGAGGCAGCAUCAUAGAGGCUUCUGUUGAGUGUAGCAAACAUGAGUGCUCUAAGCCACGUUGUACCUGAUUUCGGAAAUGAGGCCAAGAAGCAUAUGGGCGACGACCCACCGGCGGCGCUGGUAGAACUUCCAGUUGUUUGGAAUAAGUUGAAAUGGUGUUGAAGCUGCACCGCUGCUUUUAGGGCAAAGGUGGGGUUUAGCCAGACCCCUUUGUACUGAACCAAGUGUUAAGAGAUCCAACCCUUCUCUUUCGGAAGAUUUGGCAGCAUUUCUCUACAUAUUUCAACAUCAAUUUUCCGGUAGGCUUCCCGGUCUUCCUUCUCCUCAAUAUAAUUGGUUUUAGGAACAAUAGGUUGGGACGUCGAAGCUGAAGACAUUUGGGGGAUUAUGCAGGAUAUCUAGGUUUAGAAGCCUUACAUUUUUAUAUCUACUAAAGCUCAGUUGGCCUCCACUGUUCAUUAUGUGAGAGGGGCCACUGUUCACCAGCAGUGAACUCCCCAAGUUGCCUUCCCAUUCCUUCCUUGCCGGGCCUUUUCUCCCUCUCUGCUGCAGGAAAAUGACCUCUUACACUUAUCGUUACCCUUCUUUUCUUCGAGAUUCUUUUGCUCUUUGGCCACGUGUUGAUCAUCUUGUGUACUUUUUUUCCAUUAUGACUCCCUCUUUUAUUUUAUUUUUUACCUAAUCCACACUGACAGCAAUGGUACAUGCAUUUCCACCAAAAAAAUAAUUAAAAAAAUUACCUCAUCACACCUGGCAUCAAUGAUGCAUGCCUUGCCACCAAAAAAUAAUUAAAAAAACAAAAAUCUGGAACAUGCACAGAAACGCUGAGCAUGGAUACUGAGUGAGAUAGGAUGCCAACCUCAUGACAUCUAGAACAGUUCCCCACAACUGUUCAACACGUUUUUCCUUUCAUCUGCACAUCGCUCCUCGCAAAAGCCCUCGAUUUCUUCUUUGCUUUCUGUACUGUUUAUGUUUGCUACAGUAAAAUGUCCAUUUUGUCCUUAUUGGCCUCGCAUCUAUCCACCCGUUCCUCAUUUGUCUAUUCUUCUUUUUUUUUUUUAGAAAGUUUUAACGAAAAUCCCGCAAUAUUGUUCACUUUAACGAAAAAUCAAAUUUUUACACUAAAAAUUCAAACUUGAUACUAUUCAUUUUACCAUUUAUUUUGUUCUUAUCGUUAAAACUCAAAAUUUUCAAAUUUUUUUCAUUAGUUUUCAUUUUCUUUUAAUCCACGUACAUCAUUUGGGAGACAGAGAAAUCUAAAAUAAUAAUUAAAAAACUGGCGGUAGUAUAAAUUUUUUAUUUAAAAUGGGAGUUAAACCAGGCCAUGGCUCACUAAACAAUAACCCGUUAUAAAAAAAAAUUGGAUUCAUGGGAGCCAGGACCAAAAAAAUAUUUUUAAAAUGAGAAUUAAAGCAGGCUACAUGGUUUGUGGUAGCAAACAAUAAACAAUUAUAAAGCGAAUUGAAUGUAUGGAAAAACAGUUGUUCAAAAUUAUAAGAAGCUGGUUUAGUGCUCUUCUACCUGGAGAUGGAUUGUCUGCCCUCCUUUCUCUAUACCCUCCUCAUACCCUCCUGUUUUGUACGGUUACGGUUAAGACACGUCAACAUUUGUUUUUUGUCUUAUUAUUUUUAUAUAAAAAUUAAUAUAAAAUGUUGACGUGGCUUAACCGUGACCGCACAAAACAGGAGGGCAUGGGGAGAGUAUGGAAAGAGGAGGGCAGACAAUCCUUCUCCCUUCUACCCCACAUGUUUGCCCUUGUUUGAUGCCAGCUUGCCCGUUGCUUUUCUUCUUUAGCACAGCCUUUUCAUGCGUUCUCCACUGUUUUGCCAUGUGUCGAUCAUCUUAGAUAAGAGCAUCUUCAAAUGAGAUGUUAAAAGAUAAAUGUCAAAUGUUAAUUUGAUCGCUUAUGUGGCAAUGUCAGAUUUUCUCUUUUUCCAAUUGAUAUGUUUCUUUGUUAUAAAUGAUAUUUGUAUGACCAAUUUUAAAAAGAAAUCAAUUAAAAAAUAUUUUUCAAGAUUUAUAAUUGGUGCAUUAAUAGGAUCCACAUAAUAAACUAAUUAAAAAAAAUUGACAUCACAUUUUCUCAUAUGUCAAAGUUGAUAUAUGAAAACUCAUAUGUCAAUCUACAUAUGAUUGAUAUAUCGGUUGGAGUUCACUCCUAUCUUCAAAUUUGAUUACAUGAAAUUUCAUCUAGGAUUUGACAUCUCUUUGGAGAUUUGGAGAUGGUCUAAGUUCUCUUCAAUUGCAUCUCUCCAAAUCUCCUUCAGUUUCCAAAAUCUCCUUCAGUUUCCAUUUGCUUUCCUUUUCUCAACCUUUGGUUUCCGAUCUUCUCAUCUUUCUCAUUUUUCUCAGCCAAAUCAUAUGUGCAAAUUUCUUGCAUUUAAAACCCUUGAAAAAAAUAAAUAAUUGCUACAUCUUGCGUUUAAAAUCUCCGGGUCAGUACUGAUUUUGUUGAUUUUUCGAUUUUAUCAGGGUGGAUUUGUUACCUCCAAGGUCUACCUCUGUUUGGUGGUUAGUUUUUUUAACCUUUAUAGUAUUGCUGUUUUAUUUUUUUAUUUUUUAUUUUUUUGUAGUUUUCCAUGUUCAAGUGGGAUUUUUGUAUGAAUUUUUUUUUUCUUCUAAUUCAGAGUGUUUUCUUUAUAUCGUUUAUUAAGGGUAUAAAUGUAAAUGCAGAUAUAAAAUAUCCUACUUAGAUAUUGGAUAGAUAUUGGAUAGUUAGUUCUGUUAGUUAGUGGUGCUAAUGUAGUGGUGCUAUUUUCAUUAGUUGUUAUACUUGUAUGUAUACAGGUUGUAACUUUAUUCAAAGAUUCAAUGAAAAGAUUAUUUCCCAAUAUGGUAUCAACCGCCUUUCGUCUCACAACCUGAUCCAAACACGCUUCACUGCCUUGCGACUUUUCUUCUUCCCUCUUUCUGAUUGCGAUCGCCAUCUCGAUCUCCCAAACCCUAACCUUCUGCAUCAAUGGCGGCUCCUGCUUCUUCUUCUGAUUCUACUGCUCAUGUUCAUCCACCUCCGUUGCACUCCUCUGUCACGGUCUCUCCUCCGGUGAUUUCCUCCAUCACAAUUCAAAAUAUUUGAUCUAUGGUGCCAAUUAAGCUCACCACUACCAAUUACCUCACCUGGAGCGCUUUGUUUGCUCCUAUUUUUCGCCGCUACAAUCUCACCGGCAUUGUUGAUGGCUCAACACCUCUGCUGCCUCAAAUGCUACUGGAUGAUUCUGGCAAUCGCAUUUCUCUCAUUAAUCCUGAGUAUGUUUCUUGGUAUAAGAACGAUCAAAACAUUCUCAUCCGGCUCAAUUCUACACUAUCUGAAACCCUAAUUCCUUACACUGUUGGAGUUAAUUCUUCUUGCGAACUUUGGGCGAAAUUGGAGUCACGAUUGGCUGCUGCUUCUCAAUCUCACAUUCAUGAUCUUCGAUCGCGUCUGCGUAACAUUACAAAAGGUGAAUCUACAGCAGCUCAAUUUCUCCAACAAAUUGAGGAAAUCGCAGAUGCUCUUGCGAGUGCUGGAGCUCCGAUGGCUGAUUCCGAGCUCAUUUCUGUCACACUUCAUGGACUGCCAUCAGAGUAUGAUUCUUUUGUUGAUGUUUUUCAAUUUCGCAUCGGAUCGAUUACCAUUGAUGAAUUGCAUGGCCUUCUUCUGAGCAAAGAAAUUCAGUUGAAUAAUCGCAAGAAAUCGCCUCUCACUGCUCCUUUCCAGGAGUUUAAUUCUUCUACGGGUCUUCUUCCCACACCAUCUAUGGCUCCUUAGGCUUACACUGCUCCGGUUCAUUCUUCAUAGAAUUUCUCUCAAGGUUGUUAUUCUAAUUACUCUCAAAAUCGUGGCAGUUCUUCAAACCCUAGAAAUUUUCAAGACAUGGGCAAUUUCAGAGGCAAUUUUCAACGCAACAAUUACCGACCGAAUAAUCAACGUUCUUCUUGUGGUGGUCGUUCUUUCUCUGGCAAACACACUCUUUGCCAAAUCUGCCAUCAUUAUGAUCAUGAAGCAUUUGAUUGUCCACAACGCAUGAAUCCCAGCUACACUAGAUCUUCAUCUCACUCUGCCAUGGUUGCUCACACUAGUUCUACUUCAUCUGCUCCAACUUGGCUUGUUGAUUCUGGCGCCAGUCCCACAUGACCAAUAACUACACCAAUCUGCAAAAUCCUGAGACUUCUCAUGGUCCUGAAUAGGUCUACAUUGGUGAUGUCAAAGGUUUGCCCAUUCACUCUAGUUCUUCUUCUUUAAAUACUCGUCACCAUUGUUUUCAGUUGAAAAAUGUUCUUCAUGUGCCUGAUUUAAAGCAAAAUUUGUUAUCUGCGAAUCAAUUUCUUCUUGACAAUUGGUGUUCCAUGCAUCUUUAUCCUUUUUACUUCACUGUGAAGGAUAUUUCUUCGAGGAAGAUGCUUUUUAGUGGACCAGUUCGUGAUGGCUUCUACCCUUUUCAUGCAUCGUCUCCUGCUGCUGGUUCUCAACACUUGUUUGCUGCUACUACAAUGGCUUCUCAGGAUCUUUGGCACAAGAGACUUGGCCAUCCCUCUACCAAAAUUUUAAAUAAAUUGGUCUUUACUUCGUGUAUUUCUAUGUCUCGUACUAUGAAUAACACUUUCUGUUCAGAUUGUGUUGUAAGCAAAAGCUCUAAGCUUCCUUUUGUUUCUGGUUCUUGUACUACAAGUAAGCCAUUAGAGCUUCUUCACAUGGAUGUCUGGGGACCAGCUCCUAUUUCCUCUGUACAUGGUUUUCGAUACUAUGUGAUAAUUGUUGAUGACUAUACAAAAUAUUCUUGGCUUUAUCCUCUGAAGUUCAAGUCUGAUGUUCUUUCUACAUUUGUUCACUUCAAGUCUCUAAUUGAAAAUAAGUUGGGUGUCAAAGUUAUUUCUAUUCGUUCAGAUUUUGGUGGUGAAUUCUUGAGCUCUAAGUUCUCUCAGUUCUUACUUGAACAAGGUAUUACACAUCAACUCAGCUGCCCUCACACUCCCAAGCAAAAUGGGUGUGUUGAGCGCAAGCACAUACACCUUGUUGAAACUGCCCAUACUCUCUUAACAGUCUCUAAAGUUCCACAUCAAUAUUGGGAUCAUGCAUUCUCCACAGCAAUUUACCUCAUCAACAGAAUGCCUACUGCCAUAAAUGUAUCUCCAUGGGAAUCUUUAUUCAAGAAAGCUCCAUAGUAUACUUCUCUCAAAGUAUUUGGUUGUAGUUGUUUUCCUUGGUUGAAGCCUUACACUACCUCUAAGUUAGAACCAAAGAGCAAGCAUUGUGUUUUCUUGGGGUACAGUUUAAAUCACAAAGGGUACAUAUGUCUAGAUCAUUUAUCUCACAUAAUCUAUAUUUCUCGGCAUGUCAUAUUUGAUGAACUCAAUUUCCCUUUUCAUAAUUCUUUUCCAUCCUCAUCUUCUCAGCCUAUAUCUUCCUCACCCUUACAUACUAUACCAUCUAAUCUCACAUUUAAUUCCUUUCAGUAUUCCAACCCAACAUCACCUCAUACAUCUCCUUCACCACAUACAUUUCCUCCCCCACAUCCAUCUACAUCCCAACAACUACUUACAACUUCUUCACCAAAUUCAUAUCCCUCACAAAUACGUCCCAACAACUAAAUAUCUCUUCUUCAUCACUGUCAUCUCCUAUUCUUAACAUUCAUCCAAUGCAGAAUCGUUCCAAGUCUGGCAUUUUUAAACCUAAAGCUUUGCUUGCCACUAAACAUAACCUUCCAUCUCAUCUCAGUGUUGACUUUGUUCCUUCCACCUAUCAUCAAACAUCCAAAUAUUCUCACAGGAGGAAGGCAAUGCAAGAAGAGUUCAAUGUUUUUCUGAACAAUGAUACCUGGUUCUUGGUUCCCUAUUCUUAUUCUCAGAAUCUGGUAGGUUGCAAAUAGGUAUUUCGAAUCAAACGCAAGCCUGGUGGUUCUAUAGAUCGGUAUAAGGCACGACUGGUUGCAAAGGGGUUUCAUCAACAGGAAGGGUUAGACUACACUGAGACAUUCAGCCCCGUUGCCAAACCUGUCACUACUUGACUUUUACUCAUUUUAGCUGCUCAAUAUGAUUGGUUUCUCAACCAACUUGAUGUCAGCAAUGCUUUUCUGCAUGGUACUCUUAUAGAAACUGUACUCAUGCAACAACCUCUAGGAUUUCAGGAUUCUACACAGCCUAAUUCUGUUUGCAGACUCCAUAAAUCUUUGUAUGGUCUUAAACAAGCUUCUAGAGCUUGGUAUGAUAAACUACAUGGUGCUUUACCCUCAUUGGGAUUCGUUGGCUCAAAAUCUGAUCAUUCCUUGUUUGUUAAGAAAGAUCCUCACUUGGUGUUUAUCCUUGUCUACAUUGAUGACAUUCUUGUCACAGGCAUUUCUCCUCAAGCCUACAAGCAUGUUAUUGAUCAACUAAGUACUCUCUUUCCUAUCAAGGAUCUUGGUCCUUUGCAUUACUUUCUUGGCAUUAAAGUUAAGCGAUCAUCCAAGGGUAUUUUCAUUUAUCAGCCUAAAUGCAUCCUGGAUCUGUUGCACAAGGCCAAAAUGGAUGGUGCCAAACCCUGUGUUACUCCCCUUAGUACAUCAAAACUUGAUCACUCUUCUCCUUUAUUGGAUGAUCCUAUUGAAUAUAGAUCCCUUGCUGCAGCCCUUUAAUAUCUCACAUGGACUAGGCCCGAUCUCUCUUUUGCAGUGAACCUUGUUUGUCAGUUUAUGCACUGUCCUCGACUUUCUCAUCUUCAAGUUGUCAAACGCAUUUUGAGGUAUCUCAAAGGUUCCAUUGAGUGUGGUCUCUGGUUUUCUAAAAGUUCCUCACCACCAUGUAUCAUUGCUUAUUCCGAUGUUGAUUGGGCAUGCUAUUCUAUUGAUCGCAGAUCAACUGGUGGUUUUUGUAUUUUUCUGGGCAAUUCUAUCAUCAGUUGGAGUGCUAAGAAACAAUCCACCAUGGCACGGUCCUUUACAGAGGCUGAAUAUUGAUCUUUGGCUAACAUUGCUACAAAAUUAACUUGGAUUUGCAAGCUUCUUGGUGAUAUUGGUUUUCAAUUACCCUGUCUACCAAAGUUGUGGUGUGACAAUAUAUCAGCUAUCUCUCGUGCCAAGAAUCCUAUUUUCCAUGCUCGUACUAAGCAUGUUGAAUUGGACUAUCACUACAUCCGGGAAAAAGUUUUGGCUCAUGCAAUUUCUCUGCAUUUUGUUUGUUCACAGGAUCAAGUAGCUGAUAUUUGUACAAAGGCUCUGUCCAAAUCCCGUUUUCUAUUUCUUCGGUCCAAACUUACUCUUUGGCAACCUCAGAUCAGUUUGAAGGGGGAUAUUGAGGGUAUAAAUGUAAAUGCAGAUAUAAAAGAUCCUACUUAGAUAUUGGAUAGUUAGUUCUGUUAGUUAGUGGUGCUAAUGUUGUGGUGCUACUUUCAUUAGUUGUUAUACUUGUAUAUAUACAAGUUGUAACUUUAUUCAAAGAUUCAAUGAAAAGAUUUCCCAAUAUCGUUAGAUCCGAUGUCUGGGUGUAUGAUUUGUUUGCGUUUUUCGUUUCAAAACACGUUGCUCUAUGUUUUUUGGAAUUUAGUUUUUGUAAUUUUUGGUGUUUUGUUUAUAUCCUUAGAACUGUCGUUUGGUUGUAUGAUUUGCUUCCUUUUUUUGUUUUUUUUGUUUUUGGUUUCAAGACACUUUGCUCUUCGUUUUUUGGGGCUUCUAUGUGCAACUUCGAAGCCGUUUAUGCUCAAGGUAAAUAAUUUUAGUUUUUUCCUUUUAGCAUUUUCUGCAACAAUUUUUUUUUUUUUAAUAUUGUGAAGUUGUGUUUUCUAUAAUGUGAAAGUCGAAUAUGUGGGAAUUAUAUAUAUAUUUUAGAUUUUGGUGUCUUUUAGGGUUUUAUUCUGGAGUUUGCAAGCCAUUUUUAUGUCAGGUAUAUACUUUAUCUCUUUGCUGUUAAAUUUAUGUUUUAUUUGGGUUUUUUGAUUGUUUGUGGUUCAAUUUUUCCCUGAAAAUUUAAAAAGAGAGAAAUGAUCAUGAUUAAUUUUUCCGUAUUGAAUGUCAAAUUAUCAAUGUAUAUAUACAAAAAAUGAUUUCAGUGUAUGUAGGCAAGAUAAAAUUUCUAUGUCAAAUGGUGAAGUAUCAUGACUUGGUUUCCAGUUUUAAUGUUCUUUUUAUAUGUUGUCUUUGCUUUCAUAAAUUGAUACUUUAUUGUUGAUAAAACAGAUUUGGUUUUGCAGACCAUAAUUUUUAAGCAACAAAAUUAAGCUGGGAAUUAAAUUGAGGUAUGAAUGCUUCCACUUAUUCAGGUUAUUCAAUUGAUCUUUUCCUUUACUGGAUUUUAUUUUUGAAUGUUGUUUGAUAAAACUAAUUUGGUUUUGUAGAUUAAGAUUUUUAAGCGAGAAAAUCAAGUUGGAAAUUCAAUUGAAAUUGUAAUGAAUUUACAAAUUUGUCAAGUAUAUUUUACAUUUGUGGUUCCAUAUUCACUUUACCCAUAACUAUUGAAUUUUGUCUCUUGAAUGGAUGAAUUUUUAUAGCUUCCAGGAUCUACCGUUGCAAUACCUUCAAUGGAUAAAACACAGAGGACCCAGCUACUAUUAUCGAGCCUCUUUAGCAUCGUAAGUUAAAAUUUCAUAUCAUUUUUUUUGCUUCAUGGAAUUCAUUAUGUUUAAUAGCAUACCAAUUAUGUGAUACCAAUUGUUAUCUUAGCAGUUUCUAACAAUUUGUAAAGUACGGAUAAAUGUGUAGGAGUUUGAAUUAUACAUAUGAAAGUUUCAUCUAUUAUACUCUUUUACUAAUUUUUGUUACACAAUCAAUCAUUCACAAGUAAUGCUUUUUAGAGUGGUUCAAAGAAUUUCAAGAGCUACAUUCAUCCAAUUUAUGCUCAUGUAAAAAUUCUUUCAAUAAGUUCAAACAUCUAUCGGUAUAGAUAACAUUAACAUUUUUGUAACAAAAUAUUAUAGCUUUGAAACAUUUUUUCAUACAAUUUCUAAUCCCGCAUCAACGCGAGGGCAAUAUUUCUAGUAAAUCUACUAAAGCUCAGUAGAAAAGUACUAUUCAUCAUGUGAGAAAGCACUGUUCACCAACAGUGAAAAUACGGAAAUGCCCUUGGUUUUAGCUUUGGUCUCCGUACUGUUUACACUUUGCUACAGGUAAAAAUAUUAAAUACUAAUUUCAUUCAAAUAUCUUAUUUUAUUAUUUAAUACUGGGAGAGUUGUGUUUUCUAUGGAGGCAGAUUCUCUGCCCUCCCACUUCCGGUGCCCUCCCGUGCUCUCCCACUUCUGGUGCCCUCCCGUGCCCUCCUGUUUUGUGUGGUUACGGUUAAGCCACGUCAACAUUUUAUAUUAAUUUUUUAUAAAAAUAAUAAGAUAAAAAUGAAUAGUAAUAUAAAAUGUUGACGUGAUUUAAUCGUGAUCAUAUAAACAAAAGAGCACGUGAGGGCACUAAGUGAGAGGAUAGAGAAUCUGCCUCUGUUUUCUAUAGCAUGAAAAGCAAUGGAUAAAACAACCACCCUCAAACUAGGGAAAAAGAUGAGGGCAAAAUGAUUAAGGCCACGGCUGAAAGCAAAUGGAGAAACAUCAACCCUCAAACUAGGGAAAAAAUUUAAAAGCUAAUGAUGACCAAACAACAUCCCUGAAAUUAGGGAAAAAGUAUGCACACUGGCGACAUGACUGAGUGAACUCUUUCAUCAUUCUGCCUUUUUUUUUUAUUCUAUUUUAUGCAUCGAAAGAAGAAAACUUUUCUAUACAAUAAAAAAUUAAUGAAAAUUAUUUGAAAAUUUUAAAUUUUAACGAUAAAGAUAAAAUAAAGAGUGAAAUGAAUAAUACCAGGAUUGACUUUUUAGUGUAAAAAUAUAAUUUUUCGUUAAAGUAAACAGUACCAGGAACUUUUCGUUAAAGUUUAUUUCUAUAUAUUGGUAACAGUUAACUCUUAUAAAGAGAAAAUAUGGAAAUGAUGGCUAUUUCUCCAAAUGUUAGAGGCAUCAAAUUAUGUCUCUGUAUUAUACAGACUCCAAACCAGGAGUAUUUGAUCUAUCUUUAUACACCAUUUUAUUUCAUUUUUACAAUAUAAAUGCUAGGAAACUAACUGCCAAUUGAUGAUGUUAUCAUUUAGAUGAUUUCAACUAUUGCUCAUAUUGAAACUAUUUAACUGAUUUCUACUAUGUAGACCAAAACAUGUCAACAAUGAUAUGAAACUUUGGGAAGGAAUACCUAAUCACAUUCCUGUGCUAUUUAUUUUUUGAUAUCUAAGUGGUUGACAUGGUUUUUGACCAUUAGAUCAUGUAACUUUACAUUUACGAUUAUAUUGUUUCUGAUUAGUUACUAAAUGUAAUUGGAGAAAUUGUUUCUUUAAUCUACUCAUACUAUAUGGGAUUUCAAAGUUGAAUCCGCUUGCUUGCGGCCUUACGGAAGAAAAUCUCUUUAAAAGUAACAAAACAAAAAUAUUUUUUGAUGAAAUAAAGUUUACUUUAUUGAAAUGAUCGAUCGGUCACGCCCUAUUGGUUCUAAACAUAAAUAUACCAAAAUGGGUUUUCAAUUUUCCAUUUUACAUAUUUAUUGGUUCAAAUUUAAAGGUCAUUCUAAACUUAGACAUCUGUUCAUUACGAUGUCUGGGCUAACAAAUUUAAGGUCUUUAUUUUUCUUUUUGCUGCGGAUCUGCGGGUUUUGACAAGUUUUAUGGGAAAUUGGUGACUAAUGGUAUGCUGCCUCUUCAGAUUCUAAGUUUGUAGCUUCAAUUUCCAUAUAAAGUUUCCAUUUUUUAUGAUUUCUUGAAUUUGGGUUUUAACAAUGGAAAUACUGCUAGAUUCUUAUCAUUAUGUGCAAAUUACUGGUGAUUUGGAUUGGUGCCUGAGAUUUAGAGAAUGGCUCGCAACUUUAAUUUCUUUUUCCUUCAUUAUUAAUGUUUUCAAAAUUUUUACUGCUGGAUAUUGAUAAUUUGUAGUCUUUAAGGGCUUCAAUCUGUUGAAAUUUUGAAUGGUUAUUGCUUUAUCGGAAUUUGGGUGGUCCAAAUUUUGAAUUAGAAGAAAGGAGUUUUAACGAAAAGUCCGCGAUACUAUUUACUUUAACAAAAAAUCAUAUUUUUACAUUAAAAAAUCAAUCUUGAUACUAUUCAUUUUACCCUUUAUUUUAUCCUUAUCGUUAAAACUCAAAAUUUUGAAACCUUUUUCAUUAGUUUUCCUUAGAAGAAACCAUUUGAUUAAUAUUUUUGGUGAAUUGGCUCUAUGUGUUUUCUCUGUUAUUUCUUCCCCAGUUGGAAAGUGGAAGCCCCAACUUUGAGCUCAGAGCUUGAAUUUAUCAAUCAUUCGUUUCUCUGCACUCUCAUCAGUCACUCUUGAUCCUCUCUCUGAGGAACUGGGUAAUUUGCCAGCUCUAUCAAGUAAUACUCCAUUUAGUUGCUUAAUUAAUUUUUUUUGUUGCUCUUUUUCUCUCUUUCAUCAGUUCAUUGGCUUUGAUGUUGGGUCUAAGGAAAUGGGAAAUCAUUAAUUGGCAUGGUUCAAGAUAUGAUUGUGUUUUUGGAUUUGUGAAAUGAUUUGGCUAAUGAAGAGAGUGGUCUUUUGUAUAUGGAUUACACACAUGUGGGCUGAUCUGUCCUUCCUAAUAAAUUUCAGAUCUGUUUCAGGUAUAAAUUUUUCUCAUCUAUUUGCAAACAAGUUUCGAUUUUGUAUUAUUUAUAUUCCUGCCAUUGCCAAAAAGCAUGGGCUGCAGAGACAAGGAGAUGGAGAUAGGCGGGGGAUGGCAGGGUGGGGAAGGGAGAGGGAGGAGUGAGGUUGCCAUAAAAGGAGGUUAGGGUUGAUUUUUUCUCCUCAAAUCAAGGGUUGGUGUCGGGAUUGAGGGAUGUGUCGAAAUUUCCACUAGAAGCCUAAAUUAAUGUGUAGCUAUUGGUGAUUGAGAGGUUGAUUUGAGAAGGAUGGGACAGAACACACUCACUGUUUUCAUUUGUGUUUGAUUUCAGAUUUGCUCCAAUAUCUGUGCUUAGUAAUAUUUCUGCAAUUUGUAUUAUGCUUUCGCUCCAAUACCUCUGUUGAUUAAUUUUUGUCCAAUUUUUGUGUUUGUGUUUCUGUCUUUAUGCGUCUUGUAUCGUUGAAAUCCUGUUCACUUAUUGUGUAUUGCUCAAAUGCCUCUGUUGGCUUCUGCAGAGAGGUUCGAGUUCUUUACCGAACUGAUGUCAUGUCAAUUCUAUCUUAUAUCUCUAAUGAUUUUGUUUAGUUCUUAUUAUCCCUUCACUGUAUUCAAAGAUCAAUUGUUGUUUAUUAGUGUUUGUGCAAAUUGGACGGAACCGAUGUUUCUAUGUUUCUUAGAUUCAACUGAUAUCAUGGUAAUUCUACACCUGACCUCUAUAUCGUAUGUUAAUUUAUCAUCUUUUCACUUAGAGCCAAUUGUUGGAGCUUAGUGCCUAAUCAGAUGAAUUCCAAAUGCAAGAUCCUCUAAUUUCAUCUUUUGUGGUUUCAGCAAAGAUAAUGAAUCUUCUUACAGCAUCUAUUUUUUUGCAGCAUAAUUCAGCUUCUCAGUUCAAUUCUUAGGUGUAGGUUGUCCUCAUGUUCCAGUUCCAUCAGGACUAUGGGUGUUUAUUUUGGUUUCAUGUGUCUUUCUUCAGUUCUAAGUCCGCCGCAUGAAUGUGUGCUGAAAUGUAAUGUAAGUAACUGGUAUGUGCUACUUCUCAGUUUUCUAUUUAUAUGUUUUUGGAAUUUUCGGGUGAUGGGAAUCAACCUGAGUUCAUGUUAAAACGAUAUCAUAAUUUUCGUUAUAGUAAGAACUCAGAACUUAGGACCUUUUUUUUCCUUAUCUUUCCCCUUUUUGAAGUUAAGGAAUUGAAUUACUUUUUACUACCUUUUUUGCGAUCAUUCACUGAUAAUUUGUUAAUUGUGUUUAAUAUUUAUGACGUUGGAUCUCUACUUUCUAAGAUCCAUUCUCAUCUUCAGAGAUUGCUUGAUUCAUAUUGUCAAAUAGUUUAUGAAUUUCCCUAUUAAGUGCGUCAAUAUGUUAUUGCGGUAAUUUAAUUAAAUGUGAUAUAAGUUGAGGUGUAUAUACCUUUGAAACAUAAUUAUGUUAUUGCGGUAAUUUAAUUAAAUGUGAUAAAAGUUGAGGUGUAUAUACCUUUGAAACAUAAUUUUUCACACAAUUUCUAAUCACGCAGCAACGUGCGGGCAAAAUUUUCUAGUAUUUACUAAUUGUGAACCCAAUACAAAACAAUAGACCAUAAGAAAUCCAUUAGUCAAGCCCCAAAACAGACACUCCAACCCUCCCAAUUGCAAAGGGAUUGGGUGAUUCAAUCCAAGACAAACAAAAUGAGCUCCACCCCAGCCCAAACAAGUCGGGCUACAGUGAAAAAUAGGAGGCCUAACACCUUACUCGGGCCAAAAUCGCCCAACCCACUGCCUAAGGCAGUCUGACGUCAAGGUGACUUCACCCACAAUACUAUUUUUUUAUGCUAGGCGAUUGCACUUCACGUGAGUGUGGGCGAGAGUCGUCCGACCAAAAUCUAGGCGGCGGGCCGGCGCUGGAGCAAUCUGGGAUUCCGGGCCGUUGUUAUGUAGUAGUGCCUCAACCGCAGCUACAGUUGGUUUAAGCUUUCUUAUUGAACAGCUCGUAAUCAGCGAAAAAUUGCAUUUUAACGUGCUCCCUUUGUUCAACUUCAAUCAACGAACAAAAUGUAACUAAAAUAGAUGAUUGAGUGAUUAGAUUCUACAAUACAGGAGGUGAAGAGAGUGCUAAAGGCUAAAAAAUCGAUGUGCCUAUUUGGUUCAAGAUGGCGCCAUCGAGCGGGAUCCUGUGGUGGCACACAAGUUCUCAACUCUCUCUGUUCAAGAUAUUGAGGGACACUCUUGCACAUAGGACCAUUGAUCGGUAGAUGGAGUGUGGAAUACGGGGGGAUAUGAUCGAUGCAUGGUUUGCCGGAACUGUCACUUGACGUAAUGGGAUGAGCAUCAUUUGCUAAAUGGUUGCUUAUCAAAAUGUAAGAGUUCCGAAAAUCAGAUGAGCACCUGUUGAUAUUGGUGAUAUAGUUGGUGCUAGUGGAUCCAUCAAACGGCCAGAGAGAUGUAACUUCUUUAAAGUUUCUUGUUUUGUAAUUGGCUGUUCUUACAUUAUUGCACAAAUGUAUUAGUGCCACACCCUAACCGAGGGGAGGGCAUGCUGGCCGUCAUGUGAGAGUGAUGUAGCCAUGUGCACAGUGUGGAAACGAUAAAGAUAGCAAUUAUACGAAUAAAUAAAAACCAUAUUACUAGACUGCACUACAACGAAAGUGAUAGAAGUUAAUUACAACCAUAAACACUCCUAAUCAGAGCAUAAGGUUUAGGUGCAGUCCAGUAGGAUAAGUACUAGUUAUACAGUACCAUGCGAUGUCUUACAAUUUAUUUCGACAAGUCAGACAGUCGAAAUCCUCGAGCCACCAGCAACAAACUUACUUAAAACCUGGAGGGGUGCAAAAUAGAAAAUGUGAGUGGGCAAAAACAAAUGUUUUACAAAACCAUGUCAUUUAUCAACAUAACUAACCCCUCGCUGUAAAACAUGUAUAAUUUAUCCCAGAAUCAGAAUAAAAGCAUAUACGUAAAUGUAUAUAGAUGGAAACAUAUCAAUUCAACCAUAUUUAACCUAAUCAUGAAAUAUAUGUAUGUCAUGCCAAGAUAUAACAAUUUAACAAUUCAGGUAAGAAUAAUUUCAUAGGAAUAUGAUAUGUUAGCCGGAACCCCUGUGGUAGUCUGUACGCCUAAAUUCAUAGCUCAAUAAUCAAUCUAGCCGGAGUCACUACAAUGACCUGUAUGACAAAAUACUGCGCAAGAGUUGGAACCAAAAGCAAAGGUCUGUACGACAAUAGAGGGUGUAAUAAAAUCAUGCUCAUUACUACUCUCAUAUAGCCAGGCGAUAAUUCACUAGUCACCUAUGAGUCGGAACCAUACAGAGGGUCUAUACGACAAGACUGUGCACCUAAAUUGGAUCCAAUGUGAGCAUAUGGUGCGGAAGGUGACAAAAUAACAGGCUGUAUCGUAUCUCUGGCUAAAUCAAUCACCCUAAGUGCAGUUUUAUGUCAUUAUUCAAUCACAUAUCACAUCAUCGAUGAUUCACAUAACCAAACAUAACUUACCUGAACUCACAUGUGCCUCCACAGCACCACAUUUAUAUAUAUGCAACCAUGCAAUGCAUAUUCAAAAUAUAGAAACAUUUGGCAUAUUAUUUCAAAGUAUACGUUUGUAAAAUGUAUUUUCUGGGAAUUAUAUUGAAUAUAUAAAUAUAUACUGAAAACAAAAGCCCACUCACUGAUAAGUCGACGGGUCGUAGCCCUCGAGUCGCCCCUGGAUACGCUUGUCCUCGGGAUACGUCUCGCCUAUAUGCGAAUUAACUAUAAAAACGUUAUUUUAAAGCACAUACACAAAACUAGCUAAUAAUUUCUCAUACAUUGCUCAAUUUGGGUAUGUGAAUAUACCACAGUGAUCUACACAACCUCAGGGUCCUACCCAUAUUUUAGAUUAAUUUUUGGACCCCUCACGCGCCGUCACGCACAGGCGAGGCCACGGCCUUACGCGCCCCCACGCGCGGCCAUGUGACCUGCACAUUGACGGAUUCCCUAACUGCCGUUAGGGAAUAUUCCGUUAGAAUCUAACGGAUUUUGUUAAAUUUGACUGACGGCAUGAGAAUAUUCAUUCAAACUUGACGGAAUAUUCCUUCACCUCCUACCUCCAGCUCAGGCGACCGUCGCUGGCGCCGGAAACUGGGCAAAACUUCCAACUCAUUAUUCUCUUUCAUUCUUCACCCAUUUUUCACAAAAUUUGUACCAAAAUGAAGCUAGGGACAUCUACAAUCACGAUAUAUAUGUUUCAAGGCUUAAAAAUCACUAGAUUUUUCUUGAGAAAGGUCGAUAGCUCGGCUUACCUAAAAACACGUCGAUCUCAGUCAUCCGACGUCCAAUUCCUUCCAACGAAGCACCCCUAGACUUGUGAGGACAUCCUUAAGCUCCAUGUGAGCUUGAAAUUUCCAAAGACAUGAGUUUUAACGUCUGCAUGAACAGUACCCCAAAUCAGGGUUAUGGUUUUAACAUGAAGACGAAGCUAUCCUUACCUGAAAAUGGUCUAGAUGUGUUCCUGAGCUUGCGAGGAACACGAUGGUGCCAACGCCCUCGAUCUACCAAGUUUGGGUGGAUUUUGGUGUUGUCCGUACACGAUAUCGAGAGAGAUGAGAGAGAAAGGGCACGGGAAAAAGGGAGAAAGGGGAUGACGGAUGUGUGAUCCAACACUUACCAACAGCCCAAACACAACUAAAAUUUCUUAAAUUCCAAAGUGGUUCCAAACACUUAGGAGACUUAAUUAAUCCAAUGUAAAGCAAAUCACACACCACACACCCUAACUUCCAAGGGUAAUUUCAUCUUUUCACAUCAUCGAGAAGAAAAUAAUGUACAUCACCGGGACGGGUUGUGACAAUCUCCCCACCUUAUAAAUUUUUGUCAUCGAAAUUACAUACAACCAAUACAUCCACUAAUAAUCAUAAAAUAAGCAUGGAUAAAUCUCUCUUAUCCGAUCAUCGGUCUCCCAAGUAGCUUCUUCCACUAAAUGAUUUCUCCAUAGUACUUUCACCAAGCGUACGGUCUUAUUCCUCAAUUCUUUAUCCUUCCAAUCCAACAGAGUCACUGGUUCCUCAUCAUAAGUCAAAUCCGAAUUAAUUUCCAAGGGUUGAGGAGGAAUCAUAUGUGAAGGAUCUGAAACAUAAUGUCGUAGCAUCGAAACAUGAAGUACAUCGUGUACCUUGGGCAACUCUGGAGGCAACUCAAGCCUAUAAGCAACCUCACCGACUCGCUCGGUGAUUAGAUAUGGUCUAAUAUACCUAGGACUUAACUUUCCUUUCUUUCCAAAUCGCACAACACCUUUCCAAGGUGAUAACUUCAAAAAUACCCAAUCACCUACAUCGUACUUCCAAUCAGUGGCAUGCUUGUCUGCUAAGCUCUUUUGCCGAUCUUGGGCCGCUUUCAAGUUAGACUUAAUUACCUGAACAUUUUGAGUAGUCACAUCCACAAUCUCAGGGCCCACUAAAACUCUUUCGCCAACUUUUGACCAACAUAGAGGCGUACGACUAGAUUUCCCAUAAAGCGCCUCAAAUGGUGCCAUACCAAUACUCGAAUGAUAACUGUUGUUGUAGACAAACUUCAUCAAAUCCAAACAAUCAUGCCAACAAUCUCCAAACUGUAACACCGAAGAUCUCAACAUAUCCUCUAAUGUUUGAAUGGUCAUCUCAGAUUGUUCAUCUGUCUGAGGAUGAUAUGCCGUGCUAUAAAGCAAUCUCGUACCAAGAGCUUCCUGGAAUGCUAUCCAGAACUUGGAAGUAAAUCUAGGAUCCCGAUCCGAGAUAAUAUUAACUGGCACACCAUGAUACUUCACAAUCUGUGAUAUAAAUACUUAGCUAAUCGGCUUAACGAAUACUUCUCUCUCACUGGAAUAAAAUGUGCUGACUUCAUAAGUCGAUCAACUACCACCCAAAUGCCAUCAAAUCCAUUUUGUGUACGAGGAAGUUCAUACACAAAAUUCAUCAUAAUAUUUUCCCAUUUCCACUGAGGAACGGGAAGUGGCUGCAUCAAUCCAAACGGCUUCUUCCUUUCAGUUUUAACCUGCUGGCAAAUGGCACAUCUACUCACGUAUUCGGCAAUUUCCCUUUUCAUACCUGGCCAAUAAUAAUGGCCUAAUGAUAUGAUACAUCUUAGUGACUCCUGGAUGCAUCGCAUACGCCGAAAUAUGUGCUUCAUCCAAAAUUUCCUUCUUUAACUCUGCAUUAUUCGGCACAAACAUUCUGCUUUCCUGUACAAGCAUGCCAUCGGUUUUUCGAAUCUUAAAGUCUUUCUUUUUCCCCUGAUUUCUUGCUUGAAUUAUUUCUUAAGUCUCCUCAUCAUUCAUCUGAACCUCGAGUACACGAUCAAUUAAAACUGGCUUAACCAGGAAAAAUUAGCAAGCAAGGCUUCUUCUCGAUCUUCCACUCCUAGCUCCACCCCAGUGGACCUCAAAUCUGCUAGAAGAGGAACAUGACAAUCAUAAAUGGCAUUAAGUCUGGCUGGAGUCUUCCUACUAAGUGCAUCCGCCACUGCAUUCGCACGACUAGGAUGAUACUCAAUCGUGCAAUCAUAGUCACUAAGCAACUCAAUCCAUCUCCGCUGCCGAAGAUUUAGAUCCCUCUGAGUAAACAGAUACUGAAGACUCUUAUGAUCUGUGAAGAUCUUACAUUUCUCACCAUAAAGAUAAUGUCUCCAAAUCUUCAAGGCAAAGAUGAUAGCCGCCAAUUCCAAAUCAUGCAUAGGGUAAUUCUUCUCAUGAGGUUUCAACUGUCUCGAAGCAUAAGCAAUAACCAUACCAUGUUGCAUCAAUACACAACCUAAACCAUUCAGGGAAGCAUCACUAUAAACCUCAUAAUUACCGCUAUCAUCGGGAAGUGCUAGAACCGGUGCAUGGGUGAGAUAGUACUUCAACUGCUGAAAACUUUGCUCAUAUUUAUUAUCCCACUCGAACCUAACAUCCUUUCGAGUCAAUCUCGUCAAUGGAAAAGCAAUCACUAAAAAAUCCUUAACGAACCGUCGAUAAUAGCCUGCUAGGGCAAGAAAACUCCGUACCUCAGUGACGGUUCGAGGUUGCUCCCAAUUCUCCACAACUGCUACUUUAUGAGAAUUCACUUGAAUGCCUUGAGCGGAAAUAACAUGUCCCAAAAAUGCCACUUGAUUUAACCAAAAUUCACAUUUGCUAAACUUAGCACAUAGUUGGUGUUCCCUCAAACUGCUUAACACCAAUUUCAGAUGUCUGGCAUGCUCAACCUUAGACUUAGAGUAUACCAAUAUAUCGUCAAUGAAGACAAUAACAAAUCUAUCCAACUAUGGUUGGAAUACUCGAUUCAUCAAAUCCAUAAAAGCUGCAGGUGCAUUAGUUAACCCGAAUGGCAUCACGAGAAACUCAUAAUGACCUUAUCGAGUCCUGAAUGCGGUUUUAGGGACAUCCUCAUUUUUAACCUUCAACUGGUAGUAUCCCAACCUCAAGUCAAUCUUAGAGAAUACAAAGGCACCUUUGAGUUGGUCAAAUAAAUCAUUUAUACGAGGCAAUAGAUAACGGUUCUUAAUCGUUACCUGAUUCAAUUGCCUAUAAUCAAUGCACAGCCUCAAAGUUCCGUCUUUCUUCCUCACAAAUAAAACUGGGGCUCCCCAAGGUGAAGUACUUGGCUGAAUAAAACCUUUAUCCACUAACUCUUGCAACUGAACUUUCAAUUCCCUUAAUUCAGCAGGAGCCAUUCUGUAAGGAGUCAAAGAUAUAUGAUUCGUACCUGGAAGCAGAUCAAUAACAAACUCCAUCUCUCUAUCUGACGGUAAUCCAGGCAGAUCCUCAGGAAAUACAUCCAGAAAAUACUUGACCACACGUACAUCCUCCACACUACUAGAAGCAUCAUCAUUCAACACCACAUGAGCCAAAUAUCUCUGACAACCCUUCAACAACAAUCUAUUCACUUUCAUGGCCGAAAUAAUACCAUGCCUCACUCCACUAGGUUCUCCAAUGAAUGUAACUUAAGGUAAUCCAGGGCGAUGAAAUAUAACUGUUUUCCCAUAACAAUCUAUCUUGGCACGAUUAUAGUGUAACCAAUCAGUGCCCAAAAUCACAUCAAAGUCCAUAGUAUCCAACGGCAUAAGGUUAGCCAGCAUAAUAAUAUCCUCUACUAUCACUGGACAUCCUGGAUAUACCCGAUCCACAAAACAUCUAUCCCCUCUAGGUAUAGAAAACUCUAAAUUAUAUCCUAGAGGCGUAGGAUGGGGUUGUGUCACUUGAGCAAAUGUAUGAGAUAUAACAAAAUGUGUAGCACCACAAUCAAUCAAUAAUCUAGCAAAAUGACCAAGAAUAUUUAACGUACCCAUAAUUAAGUCUGGAUUAUUCUGGGCAUCUUGCAGUGACAUGUUGUUGAUACGUGCCUGAUUCUGCUGUCGUCCACCUCGACCUCUGUUAGCAUGAAUACCACGUCCUAGUCUCUACUGACCCUGCUACCUUGAAGAUCCUGCACUACUAGCAGCAAUCUCGCCCUGAUGGGGUUGUCUCCCUUGGUACCACUGAGAUCAUCCGGCUGAAUGAGGUUGAUAAGACAUAGAUCCUCCCUGAUACUAAGAGUACCCACUCUGAUAUUGAAGAUCUUGAUAGUACUGCUGCUGCCCUGAGAUGUAGGGAGCGGCGUCACCCUGAUAGUUAAGUACCUCAUCGUCCAGUCUGAGUAUAACCACCCGAUCCUGAAGCUUGCUGGGUCUGUGCAGGUGGUGGAAAAGAAGACUGCUGGGGUCUAUGAUGACUUUGAGGGCAUUGAACGGCCCUAUGACCCGUCUGACCACAAAUGAAGCAUCCACUGUUUCCUCUUCUACACUCCCCAAAAUGCCUAUUAUUACACUUGCUACAUACAGGGGCACCUGAACCACCUGAACCGCCAAAGUUACCUCGCCUCUGAAAUCUCUAGCCUCCAGAAAAUCUACCACCUAUCCUCUGGUUAUUAACAUUUCAUCCCCCGCUAGAAGAGCUGGAACUACCACCAUUUUUCUUGAAGUUCUGGGUCUUACAUGGUCCCUGAAAUACUUGCCAUUUUCCUUUAUCAUCUCGUCUCUCGCCUCCAUUCUUUCCUUCCUCAUCCUCACUUUCAUUAGGCAUGUUCUCAGAGGCCUCAAUCCUCAGCAGAAUCUCAUAAAACUCCCGAUAAGAGGCACAGCGAGUCGAUGUGGCUAUAGAACGCCAUUUUUUCUUAGUACCCAAACUGAAACGGUGAAGCAUCUCAACCGGAUUAGCAGCAACCUCUGGAUCAUACCUCGAAAGAUCAGUAAACAUCCUGUAAUAUUCAUUAGCAGACAUAUUUCCCUACCUCAUAUGAGUGAACUCCUAUUUCUUACUGUCAAUAUAAGCAGGAGGAAUAAACCUUUUUCGAAACGGCUCCUUAAACACUUCCCAGUCCACAAUCUCUGCUGGGGUCAACUGGUAAGACUCAUGGUUCUACCAGGAUGCAGGUUGUUCUCCCAAAAACCAAGUAUUCGUCUCAACCCACUUAUCAGAAGAAAGACUUCCCUGACUCUGCAUCACCUGAAAGGUCUUCUCCACGUGAUCCAACCAUCUUUCGGCCCCCUCAUGACCUUCAUUUCUUAUGAAGUGAGUCAGCUUUAGAUUAUGAACUGUCUCAAGAGGUGUCAUCUGGGGAGUACGGAAUGCUGUCUAAAUGGCAGAAACUAUAGCUUCCCCCAAUUGAGCAAUAUCAGGGAAACUAGAUUCAGCUGGUUGACGGGGCUCUCUACGAGGCGGCAUAGUUCUGACAUAAGACAUCACAAGGAUUAGAACAUUCAAGAAUCACACAGGACUGCGAAACCUAGGCUCUGAUACCAAACUGACACACCCUAACCAAGGGCAGGGCAUGCUGGCCGUCACGUGAGAGUGACCUAGCCAUGUGCACAGUGCGGAAGCGAUAAAGAUAGCAAUUAUACGAAUAAAUAAAAACCAUAUUACUAAAGUGCACUACAACGAAAGUGAUAGGAGUUAAUUACAACCGUAAACACUCCUAAUCAGAGCAUAAGGUUUAGCUGCAGUCCAGUGGGACAAGUACUAGUUAUACAAUACCAUGCGAUGUCCUACAAUUUAUUUCGACAAGUCAGACAACCGAAAUCCUCGAGCCACAAGCAGCAAACUUACUUAAAAACUGGAGGGGUGCAAAAUAGAAAACGUGAGUGGGCAAAAAAAAAUGUUUUACAAAACCAUGUCAUUUAUCAACAUAACUAACCCCUCGCUGUAAAAUAUGUAUAAUUUAUCCCAGAAUCAGAAUAUAAGCAUAUACGUAAAUGUAUAUAGAUGGAAACAUAUCGAUUCAACCAUAUUUAACCUAAUCAUGAAAUAUAUGUAUGCCAUGCCAAGAUAUAACAAUUUAACAAUUCAGGUAAGAAUAAUUUCAUAGGAAUAUGAUAUGUUAGCCGGAACCCCUGUGGUAGUCUGUACGCCUAAAUUCAUAGCUCAAUAAUCAAUCUAGCCAGAGUCACUACAAUGACCUGUACGACAAAAUACUGCACAAGAGUCAGAACCAAAAGCAAAGGUCUGUACGACAAUAGAGGGUGUAAUAAAAUCAUGCUCACUACUACUCUCACAUCAUAACCAGGCGAUAAUUUACUAGUCACCUAUGAGUUGGAACCAUACAUAGGGCCUAUACGACAAGACUGUGCACCUACAUUGGAUCCAAUGUGAGCAUAUGGUGCGGAAGGUGACAAAAUAAUAGGCUGUAUCGUAUCUCUGGCUAAAUCAAUCACCCUAAGUGCAGUUUUAUGAGCUUGACAUUAUUCAAUCACAUAUCACAUCAUCGAUGAUUCACAUAACCAAACAUAACUUACCUGAACUCACCUGUGCCUCCACAGCACCACAUUUAUAUAUAUGCAACCAUGCAAUGCAUAUUCAAAAUAUAGAAACAUUUGGCAUAUUAUUUCAAAGUAUACGUUUGUAAAAUGUAUUUUCUGGGAAUUAUAUUGAAUAUAUAAAUAUAUACUGAAAACAAAAGCCCACUCACUGAUAAGUCGACGGGUCGUAGCCCUCGAGUCGCCCCUGGAUACGCUUGUCCUCGGGAUACGUCUCGCCUAUAUGCGAAUUAACUAUAAAAACGUUAUUUUAAAGCACAUACACAAAACUAGCUAAUAAUUUCUCAUACAUUGCUCAAUUUGGGUAUAUGAAUAUACCACAGUGAUCUACACAACCUCAGUCUUCCGACGUCCAAUUCCUUCCAACGAAGCACCCCUAGACUCGUGAGGACCUCCUUAAGCUCUCUGUGAGCUUGAAAUUUCCAAAGACAUGAGUUUUAACGUCUGCAUGAACAGUACCCCAAAUCGGGGUUAUGGUUUUGACAUGAAGACGAAGCUAUCCUUACCUGAAAAUGGUCUAGAUGUGUUCCUGAGCUUGCGAGGAACACGAUGGUGCCAUCAACGCCCUCGAUCUACCAAGUUUGGGUGGAUUUUGGUGUUGUCCGUACACGAUAUCGAGAGGGUGAGAGAGAGAGUCCGAGAGCGAUGAGAGAGAAAGGGCACAGGAAAGAGGGAGAGAGGGGAUGAAGGAUGUGUGGUCCAACACUUACCAACAACCCAAACACAACUAAAAUUUCUUAAAUUCCUAAAUGGUUCCAAAUACUUAGGAGACUUAAUUAAUCCAAUGUAAAGCAAAUCACACACCACACACCCUAACUUCCAAGGGUAAUUUCGUCUUUUCACAUCAUCGAGAAUAAAAUAAUGUACAUCACCGGGACGGGUUGUGACAAUUAGACUAUAUUAUGUUGGUUUCUCUUUAAUUUCUGGCCAUUUAAAGUGAUAUUUAAUGAAUUUAUUUAUUUUUGUUUAGUCAAGUAUCAGCCUCUCCUGUCGUAGCGAGGAUAGAUGUCGUAUUCCCCGAAAUGGCCAAAUCAUAGGAGUUAUUAUGAGCUUGAUGAGAAGUACUUUUAAAAUAGCUGAAAGCGCAAAUGAAUCCUAGAAAAACAUUUAAAGUUCUUGCAAGAAGGUACUUUGGAACCAAAAAAUAUUCUGAAAGUGCUUUCAAUCAUUUUAAAAGUACUUCCAAAUGAGCUUUAUAUCAGUUCGAGUGAAAUUUUAUUUUGCAUACUUAUUUCGGUGAAGCUUUAGUUAUCGUGAUUUUUAUUACCAACAAUUAUUACUAAUUAAAUAGUUUGAAUUUGGUAGGUUGAAGAAGAAGGGUCUAGUCGCUGAAAAUGUUGUUAUAGGGUUUUGAAAACCUUUGAAUCUAACAAAGAGCGCGAGAAUGUUAAUUGUGAUAGCCCGAAUUAUGGUUUUUAUAAUUUUAAAAGUGUGAAUUUACGAAAAUGCCCCAAUGUGUAGUGAGACAUACUAAAUAUUCUUUUAGCGUAUUCCUGAAGUACUCGACGAUAUGAACGAGUAAGCGUAAGCAAAAGUGAAUUUGGAAUUACGAACCGAAAGUAUUUUGAAGAAAUAACUAUUCUAUUUAUAUUAUAUUAAUGUAUGCUAAAUUAGGAGGACAUGUGUGUGUGUGUGUGUGUGUGUGUGUGUGUGUGUGUGUGUGUGACGGAAAAGGGGAAGAAAAAGAAAAGGAAUGGGGGAGAAGAAGAAAUGAGGAGAAGGGAAGGGUUGCUGCCCAAUCAGGUUGAGAAGAAAAGUGAGGGACCAACCAGAGAAGAGAGCAAGGAGGAGAAAGGAGAAAGAAAAGAAAAAGGGGAAACCGGGUUUCCUUCAACCCGUGACCCGACCAGGUGGAUUCUCCCAUCUCUGGCCACUUUGGACAACAAGGUUAGUGUCAAAAUGACCCUUACCACGAGGCCAACCGAUCCCUCUUCCAUUUACAUGUGGAAAUUGGUGAAUUUUGGGUAAAACCAUGCUAAGUAGAGAUGAGAAUAUACAUAUAAGGCUUACAGGAUCCUUACCCCAGGGCGAUGAAAUUGUCACAUCCUGGCCCUGGCCCUUACCACGUCUCGGGCUCGACUCCACCGUAGCACGAUAUUGUCCGCUUUGGGCCCCAACCACGCCCUCAUGGUUUUGUUUCUGGGAACUCACACAAGAAAUUCCCAAAAACCGUGCUAGGUAGAGAUGAGAAUAUACAUAUAAGGCUUACAUGAUCCUUACCCCUGGGCGAUGAAAUUGUCACAUCCCCGCCCGGGCCCCUACCACAUCCCGGACUCGACUCCACCGUAAUAGGAUAUUGUCCACUUUGGGCCCCAACCACGCCCUCAUGGUUUUGUUUCUGGGAACUCACACGAGAAAUUCCCAAUGGGUCACCCAUCAUGGGAUUGCUCUCGUGCAAUCUCGCUUAACUUCGGAGUUCCGAUGGAACCCGAAGCCAAUGAGCUCCCAAAAGGCCUCGUACUAGGUAGAGAUGUGAAUAUACAUAUAAGGCUUACAUGAUCCACUCCCCUGGGCGAUGUGGGAUGUUACAUUAAUCUUCACCAAAAAAAAUUUAUCGUGAUGUUUUAGCUGCAAUGGUAGUCUUCACUAAUUUUUUUGUUUUUUUAUUUUUGUUUUGUUUUGUGUUCUUAGACCAAUUUUGUGGUGCAGUUAGCAUCUAAAAUAACCAUUGUAACUAAAAAAGAGCGUGAGAAUGUUAUAAGGAACAAUCCGACUACCUUCAGAAGAUGGUGAUAGGAUUUUUUACCACCUGCAAAAGUAGGGAUAAAAACACUUUAAAAUACUUGCAAGAGUACAAGGUUAUCGCAGUAUAGCAGCUCAAGUAAGGUCGUUUUCCACAUGAAUUUAAUGAAUAACUUGUAUUUAAACUAAUCCUUAGCUAAUUAUUUAGAACAAAAUUUCGAAAAGGUUGAUUUUGGAAUUUAAAAUAAUUAAAUAGUUGGCAAAGUAAAGAAAGCAAAAGAAAAAGGUUUUGUAAAGCAAUUUAAACACUAGGGUUUUGACGUCACCAUUAACAAUCAUAUGCAAUUGUACUAACUACCUAUGAAUUUCUACAUACAUUCUUUGAAGGUUAGGCUUUCCUAAUACAUAUUUUCCUCGUGAUGUUCAAGCGAAAACGUAUAUCUAACAUGCAACCCGUCUGAUGUUCAAAUCAAAUAUAAACAUGCAAGACUCAUUAAGUUUUAUGAGAACCCUUUGAAAAACCAUGCAACCCUUAAGAGCGUGAUGUUCGCCUUAAGUGAACUUACAAUUACUAAUCAUAAGAAGCCUUCUUCAAUUUUAGGAUGAUGUUCGAAUAGAAAUUGCAUCAAAUUACUAGUCUAAAUACCCUAAUGAUCGCGAAUCACUAAGACAAUUAGAUAGUUUAAUCACGGUAAUUAAUAAUUCAAAGCAAGCAUGCAUCCAUUCAUAAGCAAAUUAAUAAAAUCACAUAUUCCUGCUAAGGCUCGCGGCUUCGCCUUAGCAAACAGAAAUUAGUUAUGAACAAUUAUAAAACAAAAUAUUAUUGAGAAGAAGGAUUGAAAACACCUAGAAAAUAAACUUCAAAGCUCUCUAAAAUGUGCGUGCGUUUUCUCCUCUCCUCCUCUCAAUGUUGCGUCCCUCCAAACCCUAAUGUCUAAAAGCCUUAUUUAUACUACUCCAAAUUAAAACCCUCAUAGAAAAGGUUUUCUAAAAACUAGGAAAUAAAAUAACAAAAGGAUAACUAGAAAUUACAUUCCUAUCCUGACUAGGAAAUCUGCCCAGCAUAGAAAGAGCCACGUUUCUGGACCUUCAGGGCUCCAAAACAAGCCCAAAAUGAUCGAAUUAAAGAUUAGAACCUCAUCUUCAAGUUCUAAGAAGAGCCCAAAUCCAAAAUCUAUCAUCUUCCCAUCCAAAAGUCACAAAUAAGCUCGUCAGUCCAAUCUUCCAGCACUACACGUUGGGCAUAAAUUAAUUCGCCACGAUCAGAUGCUUCGGGAUAAAAUUAUGAAAUUUUGAUACAACCUUCUUGACAGAUUCAUGAACACACUCAAAUUGGAAUCACUCAAAAAUUCCACUGUUUGAUUACUUUAUGCUCAAAACAAGUUCGCAUGUCUUACAUUAAAAACAUAUAGGAAAACAUCAAAAUCUCAUCAAAAUAAUAACCAAAAUAUACCAAAAACAAGGAGUAAUAUAUAGUAUAAAAUCGACACAUCAGAUGACAAGGUGUAUUAAUUUUAUAUCGGUCAGUCAACAUGGAUGGUUUGCGACCUCUAAUAGAAUGUGGCUGCAGGACCACCAGCGCAAGCAAAGCGAAGGGUCGAUCUAAAUUAUUAGGCACUGCUCAGAUAAUUGAUAUAAUAUUUCGUUUCACUCAUAGUAUGUAAUGUGUCGGUAAUUAGUUAUAUAUAAUAUUAGUCAAACAGUUUAAUGAUAUUUUUAUAAAAAAAAUGGGUAUACGAUGACUUUGAAGUUGAACGGUUUCAAUGAGUAUUCAACAUAAGCUAUUGUUUAGUAUGACAGAUCUGUAUUGGUAGUUUUUGUGCGUUUGGUGAUUGUAUGUUUGUGCUUGUGGGUGUCUAAUAGGGGUUUAUUAUUAUUUGUCUAUUUGUGCAAAUUCAUUCCAAAUCAAUUUAUUGAUUACUGGAAUUAUGUACCCAAUAACACUUUAUGAUUGUUUGUGUUGAUUAAUGAAAUACUACGCUAUCGUUUCUUGUGAAAAAAAACAAAAACAUUUCACUACGAGAUAAUGAAACAUGUCCAAAAAAUCCCAAAAAAGGGGUCACUUUAAAUGGAGCUAGUAAUAUUGCAUUGCAUGAGCCGCUAGUGUGAUUUCUUCGUAAUUAAGUCUCGAAGGACACACACACACAUAUAUAUAUAUGUAUGUAUAUAUGUAUGGCUAUGGCUGUAAAGCUGCUGAAGCAAAUAUCAUGGGACAAGGAUUAUCUACUCUCUCAUUUUUGGUACCCUUCUAUACUCUUCUGUUUUGUGUGGUCAUGGUUAAACCACGUUAACAUUUUAUAUUUUUUUUUAUAGAGAUAAUAAGAUAAAAAUAAAUAGUAAUAUAAAAUGUUAACGUGACUUAACCGUGAUCACACAAAUAAAAGGACAUGGAAUGGCACUAAAAAUAGAAUGGCAGACAAUCCUUGUUCAAUAUCAUGACCUAAUUCCUAAAGUUGAUUUUUUAAAAAUUCAUUUCAAAAGUAGUGGAGUAGAGCGCAUGUCAAAUCAAUAACUUUCAGAUCCGCCCUUCGGCUCGGUUGGGCUUCAACCUAGUGCAACUUGAGUAAUUUUUUUAUUUUUUGUACUCUUUUUUUUUUAUACAAAUGAUGUGAUAAUAUAUAUUAAAUUCAUCUGUUAGUAUUUAUAUUAGCUUUUAAAUGUCGAAUUUUCUAUGUUGUGUACAUUUUUAAUCGAGGAAUGCUGGACAACCAGCUUGAUAUAUUAGCUUUUGUAAAAUUUGUAAUACAUAUCAUUUUAAAGCCUCUGUUAUUGUUUUUUCCCUGUCGUUACAUUUUCUUUUAAUUUUACAUGUUGGGUUGUAGGAAAUGAACAGAUAUGGAUGUUCGUCCCUAAUUCCUCGAAAGAAAGGGAAACUAUAUAUAUGCAAGCUCCUCACAACAAAAAUGGGAUUUGCCAUGCGUAAAAACUAUAUAUAGGCAAGCUCCUCACAACAAAAAUGGGAUUCGACAUGUGUCAAACUUCGGCUCCUCUACCAGUUAGAGACCUUAUAAUUCUCGAACAUGCCUUCAUGUUUGUGAGACUCAUCUGCACUAAAAAAUUGUUACUAGGUUUUGAGAACCAUUGCAACUAAAAAAGAGCAUGAUGAUGUUAAUCUUCGCUAAAAAAAUUAUCGUGAUUUUUUUAGCUGCGAUUGGAAUCUUCACUAUUUUUUUUUGGGUGUUCUUAGCCAAUUUCUUUGAGUGCAGUCAUCGUAUAAAAUAACCAUUGCAACUAAAAAAGAGCGCAAGAAUUUACGGCUCCAGGUUGUUGUCCCCUAAAGUGUGUCUCAUUUGUGUCUCCUUACUAAUAUAUUGACACGUGUUAUUUAACUUAAUUUAAAACUUAACUCUAUUAACUUUAUUUUUUUAACAUUUAAAUUUUUAAAAAAUAAAUUCAAAAUAAUAAAAAACUGUUGGGUUAACAAGGUGAACAAACCCAAAUAGGAUUCUUCACCUUCUCAAACGCCUGUAAAACCCAGCCAUCUAAAUCUCUACUCUCAUAAUCUGCAAUAAGAACACCCCUGUUCUUGUAUAUUUUUUCGUUCUUUUUCAAAGCCCAUUCCAUCUUCACUGUUUUAUUUUUUUGUUUUUUUUAACCCAUAUACAAUGAUUAAAAAUUAACACUGAACUUCAUCAUGAACCAUGACAUAUCUUCAGGACUGAGAUAAAUUGUCAAACAUUCUUUGUACUGAUUUUUUUUACAAAAACAAAACAUGAAAGAGGCAUAUGAUAUGAGACAAGAGCAGAGGGAGUGGACAAGAGAUGAAAGUGGGCAUAGAGGGUUCAAGAUUCAUAUACUGGGAUUGAUGCUUGCCCCCAAAUUGUACGAAUUACAGGAAUCCCAAUCCUUCACCCUUGUCUUUUUUUUCUAUUAAUCCCUCACUCGGAUAGGGUUUGAAGAUGAUAAUCGAGAUCGAGAAGAAGAUUGACGCCAGAUUUACUUUGCUCAGGCGUAAGUAUUUCAUCGUAUUUUAAAAUAUUAGCAAAAAGACACAAUAUGAGACACAAAAAAGGGGACAGCAGAUCCUUGGCCAGAACUUACAGGGAUCAAUCCGACUACCUUCAGAUGAUGGCAAGGUGUAUUUGAUAUUGAUGAGUCAACAUCGAUGAUUUACAAAACAAAAAAAAAUACAGGAUGACUUUGGAAUUGAAUGGUUUCAAUGAGAAUUCAACAUUGCACCACGAGAUAAUGAAACAUAUCAGGAAAAAAAAAUCCAAAAGGAGGAGUCACUUCAAUUUUAUUUCUAACGUAGUUGAGUAGAGAGAGCAUGUUAAAUCAAUAACGUGAAUUGCAUGCAACAUUAAUAAUGGUGAAUGGUGGGGUUUAUGAACUAAAUGCUAAAAUUGCUAUAUACCAAAAAGCGAUAAGAGCAUCUGUCAACAAAAUCGCUCAAUAAUUCAGUAUUCAAUUGGUGCUUUUACAAAUUGAUUAUCCGUUUUAUUUUAGUUUAUUUUACUUUUGCUUAUUUCUUUAAUAUUUUUAAAUUCGUUUUUCUUAUUUUAGAUCUUAAAAUCAACAUUUUUCAAAACUUUGUUUCAAGUAAUUAAUUAAGAUUUGAUUUUAUAUAAAUUAUUCAUUCAUUCUUUGUGGAGGACGAUCUUACUUGAGAUAUACUACGAUUACCUUGUUCUCUUACAAGUAUUUUUAUCCCUACCUUUGCAGGUGGUAAAAAUUUUAUCAGUUAUGUUGAUGGUAGCAAAAAUGUGUCCUCAAGCCAUGUUCUACCUGAUUUUAGAUAUGUGACCAAGAAGAAAAUGUAGGAUCCACAGGCGGCGGCACAAGUACUUACAGUUGUUGCAGAAGCUUUGAGGAAAUUGGAAUGGUGCCUAAGCAGCCAGACUACUUUUAAGGCAAAGGCAAGAUUUAGCCAGAAGCCUUGGUAUUGAACCAAGUGUUCAGUGGCCUAACCCAUCUCUUUCGAAAGGUUUGGCAAUAACUCUGCGUAGGUUUUUGUAGGCUUCCAAGCCUUCCUUCUGCUUAAUAUAACUCUUGUAACCUUUUUUCUUUAUUAAUUUAUGUUUAUUACCGUAUUUACUAAAGGUGAUAAUAAACAUAUAAUUACUAACAUUUUUUCCGUCAUAUUUUUAUUUAUGAUCCCACUGCCAAUUUAUUCUUUAACUACAGUCUUUCUUCUUCCGUAUUUUCUAUCUUGUACUUAUUGGCCAGAGAAGGGUGUUUUUGUCGUGAAACUUUGGACUCAUUCCUUUUUGUGCAUAUAGGUUUGAGUCAAACAAUAAUUCACUUGGGUUGUUAUAUCCUGAAUGAAUAAGUCAAAAGAUAUAUUGUUACACCGGUUUGUGAACUUCUUUGUGCUUCUGUCAGUAGUAUGAAAAUGAUUUUUCUGUGUUCUAAAUGCAAUGCAAAUGAAUGUGUAAUGUACAUAUACCUGUCCGCAUGUAUGAAUUUGAUUUGUAUCUCAUGAGAGAAAUCUGCUCAGAAAGAGUGCGUUUAAUUUCCCUAGGUUUCUUUCAUCAUCUCUCACUCCAUUUGAAGGGAUGAGCCUAUUGAAUUAAUGAAAAUAAACAAAAUAAUUGUGAAAAAUAAUAAUAACUAAAUCCGAAUUAAAUUAAUUAAUUAUUUAAAUUGAUAUUAAAGCCCGAACCUAGGAAACCUAAAUCCAAGGCUCAUCUUUUCAUUAUAUAUAUAUAUAUAUAAUUAUCACACCCCAAAGCUCAAUUUCGAUGUUCAAGCUCAAAUUUGUUCUCCAUAGUUCAUCUUUCCAAUCACCUUGUAAGAGGGACUUGACGAUAUAAAGUGUAAGAAAAUUUUCAAUUUAACCAAUGUGAGACAAAUAUAAAUAAAAGUUCUACUCCAACAGAGGGAUGUAAAUUCUUAUAAUAAAAUAAAUAUUAUUGGACCGGGAUGGGCUAAAAUGCCUAGUUUGCUCAUUGUUGAUUGGCCAAUAUUAUUUCUUCUUGUAAAUUAUUUGAGUAAUGCUAGGGAGACUAAAUUUAUAGAUAAAGUUUUAGAAACUAAAUGACAUGAAAGUUGUCGAUUGGUUUAUUACUUAAGCGUUGGUAAACGUGCUUGUGGGACGAUAAAAUCUGGUUUCGACUCAUGGGCCAAUACCAAUCAUCCAAAGAUGGUGUUGUGCAAGAUAAACUGUGAGGAAAGCACACAAGAAGUAUACAGACGCAAGUGAGACGUGUCUAGAUAACUACCUCCAUUACGGAGGAUCACUAAGGAAGAGGGAGAGGAAGACAGGUCGUGGUACUUGUUUCCCAAGCAUGUAGUCCUAUAACUAUGGAGAGAAGCCACAAAGCAAGGUACGUAAUCAGAACCCGAGAGAAACCAAAGAAUAUAAAAUAAAUCGACUAACUUGAGUGUCAGAGUAUCUCUUGCAGGUACCCCGCCCAGGUAAGCUACGGAGAAAGACUGCUUGGGGACACCUCUAAUGAAGGAUUCGGCGAACAUGAGAAUUGCAAUCAACAAAUCUAUGGAGGUAUUUCUUCUCAUAGGAAAUUUUGCUCCAAUAGUGCUCAUUUCUAUUUGUGACACAUAAUUUUGUUUGCAAAUUUAGUUUCAAAAUUUUAUCUCCCUAACAUUACCCGAACUAUUUUUGAGAAAAUAAUUCUCCAUCAUCCCCGUGGACCGCCUAUAUCGGUUAUCCCCCCUUGUGAGUAUCGAUGACUGAAAUGGACAUUAUACAGAAAAGGAAAGGACAGUUUCUUAAAGGAAGAAAACAUUUUAUUAUAUUUGCUAUGUAUGAAAUUACAAUGUUUGUUCACGUUUCUUAACAAAAGUCUGCUUAAUUAUCCUAUUUAAUAAGAAAUUAAUAUCGAGACUAGUAUAUAAUAGUAAUUAUAAAACAUAAGUAAAAUCUCGUUUGGAAGUGUUAUUAGAAUGACAAAAAACGGCUUUACAAAAAUAUUUCUGAGUACUAAAAACACUUAAAGUACUUCUGUAAAAAGCACCAGUUAUGUGCUUCGUGUAGAAAAUACUUAUUUUUUCAAAACUCACUUGCAUUUUUAUUAAAAAUUGAUUCUAAAAAUAUUUUCAAAAAAAACGAGUCAUAAGUUAUGAAACACAUCUGUGAAGUGGGAGCAGGGAUGAGGGAGGGUUCCGCGAUUUGUGAAAACUUACAUAAAAAUUUCACUUACGGACAAAGCAAAUCCUUGCACCACAAUCCCUUUUACACACACGUAUGCAUAUAAUACUACUCGAUCUUAAAAUGCGAACUAGCUAGCUGAUACACACACACACACACACACAUAUAUAUAUAUAUAUAUAUAUAUAUGUGUGAUUUAUGGGAGAGGAUCCUCUCCGGACCCAAACCCACCGGAUCCUUCUUCUUUGGAGGCCAAGUCGGCGUCGUCGGCCUUCCCAGAGUCAGCGUCGUGCUUCACCGGAGAUCUAUUUUAUAAUCACGCGACCAGUUGCUGGGAAUAGGCUGGAACAGAGGUCGGCGUUGGACAUCUAGUCGUAGAACGUGAUGAAAGCAACAGUAGCACCAUGUUGAUGUACCCUUAAUUUAUAGACUGAGCUCAAGGUACCAUUACCGAUAUGACUUGUCGCUGAAGCAUUUGGUGGCUACUCUCAGCCAGUGAAAAUCGGCGGCAUAAUUCCUGCUACUCGCCUUCAAAGAAGAAGGAUCCGGUGGGCUUGGUAGGAUCCUCUCCCAUGAUUUAUCUAAAACGGCAACACGAAAGGCGAAUCCUUGUUAUUAUUCACAGUGGUACCGCUCGAUCAUAAUUAAUAUGCCAAGUUUUUUUUUUUUUUUAUUAAAAAAUCUUGCCGGUACGAGAGAAAUUUAUUACACGGGAGGACAAAAAUCUCACCCUUCAUAAAGUAAGAAAAACUAAAUACAAGAAAAAAAAAAAAGAGACAUACACCUUACCUCUCUUGAAAAAGAGAAUACAAAAAAAAAAUACACAAGUAAUUAAGCAAAUUGACCAAAGAGAAGCACAAUACAUAAGUAAUUAAGCAAAUAAUAUUUAAGGCUAGUUAUGGAUUAGCAAAUGUCAAUCCAGAACCACUGAACCUCUCAUCUAUGAUCUGAUCCAUACGUUUUGUCAUGUCAUCAGUGAAGAAGUUUUUCCAAUCCCCAACUUGGCCUUUCCUGAAGAAAUCACUGUUCUCGACUACAAUAUUGGCUUUAACAAAGUACUGUUGCGUCCUGGAGGUUUUAUUUAUCUCCAAGCUGCUCAGAUUCUCAAAACUACAAAGCUUUAUGAUCUGCUGCACCACCCCUUUGCUCUCCUCCUCCUUUGAAAAAGGUUGACCCAAGAACUCAGCCAGUCUCUUCACAUUAGCAGAUGGCUCCUUCCUGAGAUCCUCAUAUUUUAAGAACAAAACUUGCUCUGGCAUUUCCAAGCUUGCUUUCCAAAACCCUAGCACAUGGUCCCAAUAGGGCCCGU
rnacentral:lncRNA from 1 species